rnacentral:rRNA from 1 species
GAUGAACGCUGGCGGCGUGCCUAAUACAUGCAAGUCGAGCGAACAGACGAGGAGCUUGCUCCUCUGACGUUAGCGGCGGACGGGUGAGUAACGCGUGGAUAACCUACCUAUAAGACUGGGAUAACUUCGGGAAACCGGAGCUAAUACCGGAUAAUAUAUUGAACCGCAUGGUUCAAUAGUGAAAGACGGUUUUGCUGUCACUUAUAGAUGGAUCCGCGCCGCAUUAGCUAGUUGGUAAGGUAACGGCUUACCAAGGCAACGAUGCGUAGCCGACCUGGGAGGGUGAUCGGCCACACUGGAACUGAGACACGGUCCAGACUCCUACGGGAGGCAGCAGUAGGGAAUCUUCCGCAAUGGGCGAAAGCCUGACGGAGCAACGCCGCGUGAGUGAUGAAGGUCUUCGGAUCGUAAAACUCUGUUAUUAGGGAAGAACAAAUGUGUAAGUAACUAUGCACGUCUUGACGGUACCUAAUCAGAAAGCCACGGCUAACUACGUG